GGCUCAGAUUGAACGCUGGCGGCAUGCUUUACACAUGCAAGUCGAACGGUAACAGGUCUUCGGAUGCUGACGAGUGGCGAACGGGUGAGUAAUGUAUCGGAACGUGCCCAGUAGUGGGGGAUAACUACUCGAAAGAGUGGCUAAUACCGCAUGAGAACUGAGGUUGAAAGCGGGGGACCUUCGGGCCUCGCGCUACUGGAGCGGCCGAUAUCAGAUUAGGUAGUUGGUGGGGUAAAGGCCUACCAAGCCGACGAUCUGUAGCUGGUCUGAGAGGACGACCAGCCACACUGGGACUGAGACACGGCCCAGACUCCUACGGGAGGCAGCAGUGGGGAAUUUUGGACAAUGGACGCAAGUCUGAUCCAGCAAUGCCGCGUGCAGGACGAAGGCCUUCGGGUUGUAAACUGCUUUUGUACAGAACGAAAAGGCUCUGGUUAAUACCUGGGGCUCAUGAUGGUACUGUAAGAAUAAGCACCGGCUAACUACGUG
rnacentral:rRNA from 1 species